GACGAACGCUGGCGGCGUGCUUAACACAUGCAAGUCGAACGGAAAGGCCCUGCUUUUGUGGUGUGCUCGAGUGGCGAACGGGUGAGUAACACGUGAGUAACCUGCCCUUGACUUUGGUAUAACUUCAGGAAACUGGGGCUAAUACCGGAUAGGAGCUCCUGCUGCAUGGUGGGGGUUGGAAAGUUUCGGCGGUUGGGGAUGGACUCGCGGCUUAUCAGCUUGUUGGUGGGGUAGUGGAUUACCAAGGCUUUGACGGGUAGCCGGCCUGAGAGGGUGACCGGCCACAUGGGGACUGAGAUACGGCCCAGACUCCUACGGGAGGCAGCAGUGGGGAAUAUUGCACAAGGGGCGGAAGCCUGAUGCAGCAACGCCGCGUGCGGGAUGACGGCCUUCGGGUUGUAAACCGCUUUCGCCUGUGACGAAGCGUGAGUGACGGUAAUGGGUAAAGAAGCACCGGCUAACUACGUG
rnacentral:rRNA from 1 species